rnacentral:rRNA from 1 species
GAUGAACGCUAGCGGCAGGCCUAACACAUGCAAGUCGAGGGAGAAGCCCUUCGGGGCAGAAACCGGCGCACGGGUGCGUAACGCGUAUGCAACCUACCUUUCACAGGGGGAUAGCCCGAAGAAAUUUGGAUUAAUACCCCAUAAUAUUAUUGGAUGGCAUCAUUUGAUAAUUAAAAUUACGAUGGUGAAAGAUGGGCAUGCGUCCUAUUAGCUAGUUGGAGUGGUAACGGCACCCCAAGGCUACGAUAGGUAGGGGUCCUGAGAGGGAGAUCCCCACACUGGUACUGAGACAGGGACCAGACUCCUACGGGAGGCAGCAGUGAGGAAUAUUGGUCAAUGGUCGGAAGACUGAACCAGCCAUGCCGCGUGCAGGAAGAAUGCCUUAUGGGUUGUAAACUGCUUUUAUAUGGGAAGAAUAAGGCGUACGUGUACGUGAUGACGGUACCAUAUGAAUAGCUCGCA